CGUAAAGCACAUAACUUCAACAACAAUCCAUUUCAAUUGGCAUUAGUAUUGUUAUUAUUUUGUUUUAUUUUUUAUUUUUCAUCAUUUUUACCUGUUCGAACGUGUCAUGCACCACCACAACAUCAUACGUUCACAGUAGCACUGGGCCAGCUCAUAGACUGUGUGGACCGAUGUGUUGCCAUCUUGUGGUGAGAGCACUACAGAAGUAAACACUACAGAAAAAAAUUUACACGGCUGAGAAGUCAAUUAAAUGUCAUAACAAAAACACCAACAAACAGCGAAACAGCAACGGAGACCGACCCAAUUCUUUCUCGAACUCGGCUGCCAAUGACUCUUCAAUGGUGUCUCGUCACAAUCGACUUGACAACGUCUUUUACGCAGCGUCGCCUCCACUCAGCAAGAGUUCCAGAGAACCCUGCUCCCCUGGCGGUCGAGCCCCGUUGUCCUGUGCCGGCGCUGAACUUCAGGGAGCUGCUGGAGAAGCAGGAGGCGAAUAACACGUCCACACAGCUGAACAAGCAUUUACAAUCCAAGCAGUGGGCUAAUCUACUGGGACCAGGACCAAGGAGACGUUUGGUAGGAGGGAAUUCCGGAUCGAGAGACUCCAGCCCCAGCACCUGCCCAUGUCAUCGCCACACUACACCUCUUCAUCGUCGUCCAUCAGUGGGAGGAAUCCACCGUCGGUAUUGUCUGUUAUUUUUCUUGCAGCUCCCUCCCGCCCUGAAUGCGGUGCGGUUUGGACCACUCGGUGCUUGAAGUAAGCCCCCUGCUUGUGGUCCUAGUGAUCAAGAGACCUAAGUCUCGAGACCCGGCCGAGCUAAUGGCUAAAAGAGAUCACCUAGUCUGUGGUUUAUGCCUGCAACUUGUGCUUCCGAUGAGAACACUCAGUGCACACCUAGCGGUCAUUUUGUUUCGCGCACUCCUGGGAGCUCCAGGUAUGAUCCCAGACGUGCUCUGUCGGGUGCUGCUGCCCAUGCUCCAGAGACAGCAUGGUUCUUACAUCAUCACGUGACUGCUCUUGAUGUAAGUGGAGCCACAGUCAGGCACUGUCAGAGUUUGAAUAACCAACAACCCUUUCAAGGGGCUAGUAUUGUUGCUGGAGCUCAAAGGACGGCUGGUUACCCCCGACUUGGCUCUGUCUCUGUGGGACUUUCUCCCGGAGUGGAGAGACCUGUGUGGUCCUCUUUUGCUGUGGAUGGGCUGAACAAUACGUGUAGGUGAUGCGAUUCAGUUCCCUUUUCGACCACCUAUCUUCGAUGGGGUGUACAGCACAGUGGCCCGUUCUGGGCGCACUUAAAACAAGAGAUAAACUCUCUUCUCCUAAGUGAGGACUUCCUAGAGUCUCACUGGAGGAGUGCAGGGCAGGGUUUUACUCUAUGUAUUUCCUCGUCCCAAAAAGAUAAGGAAAGUUCCUGGAUCCUGAAUCUCUAGAGGUUAAACACUCACAUUGCAUCACCUCCGUUCAGAAUGAAUGAAUCAAGCCAGAUUGAGAUUGGAUGACAUUGGUGGACCAGACAGAUGCGUUUUUUCAUGUUCCUAUUCUCCCGAGUCACUGACAAUAUCUGACAUUCACAUUAAGAGGCAAUCAUUUUCAAUUCAGUCGACUACCGUUUAGGUAUUCCUUGGCACUGAGGACCUACUCCAAAGUGGUGUACACAGCUUCUGAGUUUCUCAGAAGCUCAGGUCUGAGGAUCCUGACCUACCUGAACGACUGUCUCAUUCUGGCGAUGUCCUGGGAGGAGGUGCAAACAGCAAGGGUGCCGAAUCACAUCAGACGUCUGGGGAUCCUCUUCGAUUCUCAAUUGAUGACAACGCGGCUGGUUUGUGCAUCACCAUCUCCACCUGGUACAGGACAGGAACAGUCUGUUGUCAACAAUAGGAGCAGUCAGUGGUUGAGUCUGUCAGCUCAAGCUCGCCUGGACAUGGCGUUCACUCCAGAGUGUGUCUCCGGGAUGGGGAGGCAACGUGGCCAGCGAGCCACCUGUUGUUGCUGAGGACGCGUCACGUCCCAGGUGCACUAAACCUGGGUGCAGACAGCAUGUCCAGAGGAGGUACCGGUUGCAGGUCUUUCCAACCUCCUCCUCACCAGAAUGAACGAAAGGUAAGGAUUCACCAGUUGUGUCUGGUUCAUACGUUGUCAUGUUAUGUCAACAGAAGUUGAGGUCUCUGACUAACGGACAGAGUGUUCAUCUGCCACAGUGGGAGUCUCGGAGGGAGACCAGUGUCUUCUCAGGAGUCAUUUUGAGGGUGCACGUGGCUGCAGGUGCUAAGGUCAUAGAGGGCUCAUACUGUCCUUUCUUAUCUCAGAUGGAAAUGAGUCUGAUUACAGGAGGGAGGUGGACCGGCUGGUGUCCUGGUGUGGCCACAACAACCUGGAGCUGAACGCUCAGAAAACAGUGGAGAUGAUCGUGGACUUCAGAAGCGUCACAUUUCUUCCAUUCCCCUCAUGAUGGCAGAGUUGCCCAUUUCCAUUUUUACGUUUCCUGGGACCCACCAUCACUAUGGUUCUUAAAAGGGAGCGGACCAUUCAUCGCUAUAUGCCACACUGUCCCUCUGAUUUUGAUUCAUAAAUGUAUUCUUGCCAUUAUGGCACUCUCACCCUGUCAACCUGGAAUGAGGUAUAGAAGCACAACAAGUAACUUUGGGGGAAUUCAAAGCAAUUUUAAGAGACCAAGAAUGAAGCCGAUAGCGUCAUGUAAUCACACUGUGUAAUAACACAAUCCCAGUCAUGCAUUCUGUAGUGUGGAUUACUGUUUUGUAUCUGUGGAUUUGCUGUACCUACUCAAUUUGGUCAUUUGGCCGGUCAAUAAAGCAGUUGCAUAGGCAUAGUGCAUUUGGAAAACUCAAGAAUAAAUUAAUUUCAACCUGGAUCAUACCUGGAUCAAGGGCUUGAAUGUCUGAGUUAUUCAGGUUUGACAGAGAAAAGGUUUUACAUAAUGACCUCCAGCUAUCUGGGUAAUAAUAUUCUUUUAUUAGCUGUGCCAUUGUCAGGGAUCUGCCCCAGAAUUGUGGUGCACAUGCAACCCUUGAUCAUUUCCACAAGUGAAAAUCCAUCGUCCAAAGAUCACGUGGACCAAAUAUUAAAUGUUUCCCUCACAAAAACAUGAAACAUAGAAGAGACACAAGAUACAGAUCUUGACAGCAGAAUACAAAAGACUUUGUGCUAAACUGUGAGACUUCAAAAACAACAGAGAAAUAUUACAAUUAUAGGGCCACUCACUAUAGUACAAACACAAAGCUGACAGCUCGUAAGGAGGUUCUGGGAUAAUGUUGAAAUUGAACUCUGCACACAGCGAUCGCGCUAACGCCAACUAGUUUAACUCCUCAGUUUAAAUCAAUGGUUCAUCAUAAUCAAGAUCCUGAAGUCAUCGUACACUGCCAUUAAAGCCGGAGACCUUCCUUCAAUAGGAUUUCCAGAUGAUGAAAGUUUCUGGUUAAAAUGUAAUAUUCAGUGGAGA